rnacentral:rRNA from 1 species
UGGGGAAUAUUGGACAAUGGGGGGAACCCUGAUCCAGCCAUGCCGCGUGUGUGAAGAAGGCCUUAUGGUUGUAAAGCACUUUAAGCAGUGAAGAAUACAUCAUGGCUAAUAUCCGUGAUGAAUGACAUUAGCUGCAGAAUAAGCACCGGCUAACUCUGUGCCAGCAGCCGCGGUAAUACAGAGGGUGCGAGCGUUAAUCGGAAUUACUGGGCGUAAAGCGAGCGUAGGUGGUUUAUUAAGUCAGAUGUGAAAUCCCUGGGCUUAACCUAGGAACUGCAUCUGAUACUGACAAACUAGAGUAGGUGAGAGGAAAGUAGAAUUCCAGGUGUAGCGGUGAAAUGCGUAGAGAUCUGGAGGAAUACCGAUGGCGAAGGCAGCUUUCUGGCAUCAUACUGACACUGAGGUUCGAAAGCGUGGGUAGCAAACAGGAUUAGAUACCCUGGUAGUCCACGCCGUAAACGAUGUCUACCAGUCGUUGGGUCCUUUAAAGACUUAGUGACGCAGUUAACGCGAUAAGUAGACCGCCUGGGGAGUACGGCCGCAAGGUUA